CAGGAAAAGGUGUUUACCAUCGGAACAAGAAUAUCAAUACUGAUGAAGAUGCAACUGAAUUAAACUUCACCCAGCUUGCAAGGGUGGUCUCUAUUACUGGGGCAUCAAGGAUUACUAUUACAGUGGUACCUUGGGUUAAGAACUUAAUUCGUUCUGGAGGUCUGUUCUUAAUCUGAAACCGUUCUUAACCUGAAGGUACCACUUUAGCUAAUGGGGCCUCCCACUGCCACCGCCCGAUUUCUGUUCUCAUCCUGAAGCAAAGUUCUUAACCCGAGGUACUAAUUUCUGGGUUAGCGGAGUCUGUAACUGAAGCGUCUGUAACCUGAAGCAUCUGUAACCUGAGGUACCACUGUAUUUUGUAAAACCCAUUAAUGACUGGAGCAUCCAGUACUAUAGAUGCACCGACUUCUGCCAAAAUAUGGAUGCUGUUACAUACUCCUUCCAUAGAGAUGUUGUGAACAUGCUCCCUGGAGGAAUGGCUAAUUAGCCGAGGCCCAUCUUAUGGUAAGUGGGAAAACUAUCAAGACCAUCUCCAAUGACUCGCAACACUCCCAUUGUAUGGAAUAAGAAGAUCACCAAGAAAAGUGGGAUGCAACAAGCAGAAGAUGACCAGUGUGGAGCACAACUGGAAGAUUUCCCUGACUGCCUCAUAUGAGUCAGGCUUUGCUCACUAAGGCCAUUGCCAAGUAGCAGUUCUCUCUCACUGCUGAGUAUGGUGGGAAGAGGGUCAACACAGAGCAGGAAAACUGGAAUGAAGCCACUGAGAUUGAAGAGUCUCUUUAUGUGACCCUGCAGCUCAAUGAGAAGAUGUACAUAUGGCAAUACCAGCUGGCUUGGGCAAGGAAACGGUCUUGUUCUGCCAUGAUAUGAAAUUUACAGCAAGUGUUCACACAUUUCCCUCAUUCUCCACCAAGAGAAGCAGCUGCCACCUACUACAAAACUUUCUGUCUGGAUACCACGAUACUGGUAAGUCUUGGAGAUUUACUGGGCAGGAGUGGAGAGAAGAAAUCUUUAGAAUUUGGGGCACAAGGGAGGGAAUGCUUUUUGUGGACCUGCAGUCUAACUACCUCUUUAUAAUUAUAAAGGUUAUAAUUAUAAACUCUAAGGUUUUUAUUUCAGCAAUAACAGUACAAGUUAAAUGAAGUUCCUUUUAAUAAUCCAAUAACCGCUCUACUAAAACAGACCAUGUAUCCAGCAACAGACCUUGAAUCUAAAAAUGACAUCAAUCCAUACUCAAGCAGAAUCUCUCUCUGCACAGCUGAAGCAAAAUCCCAGGGAGUUCCAGGGGCUGCUUCUUUGUGGACCUGUAGUCUAACUACUUGUUUAUAAUUAUUGAG
rnacentral:lncRNA from 1 species